GUGCACUUAGAUGCAUUUUUAGUAGUCACCAUCCAAAUUAAGCUCUUGGAAUUCAUUGCCUGGCAACAGGAGAAGUGGCUUCACUCCUGAAAAGCUGAGAAAGAGCAGAGGAGUGGCAGAGCAUGCCAGAGAAACCCCCCAGGGAUUUCUUAGCCAGAUGUUUAACAACUCAUUGUUUCAGUUCUGGGAGGAAGACAAUCCUAACCUCUGCUCGAAGGAUGACUGAUUAAGGAUAGAAAGAAAAACAGACUUUACCCCAGAAAUGACUUUACUGAAUUUUAGUACCUGCCACCACCCUAUUUUCUGAGCCAAACACCUAAACCAACCCCUCCGCCCCCAACCCCGGAAGCAGAAUUGAUGCAGACUACAGACGCCAGUUGAUUGUCAGUCCCACUGUGACUUGUGCAGAGAAGUGACAUGACUUGGUUAGCAGCUUUCACUGCCCCGAUGUUUUAUUCAAGCACAAAGUAAUUGUGCUUUAUAUGAAUGCCAGUGUCCCACAAUAGUGCCUUUCAUUCCUGAAUUUAAAACACUCGCUUUAGAAAAUUCUCUUCCUUAUUAAGGGAGUCCUGUGAAAAUC
rnacentral:lncRNA from 1 species